rnacentral:lncRNA from 1 species
ACUCAAACCACCAUACCAGCACAGUUCCAUAGCAUCAUGCCUGGGGUAUAGAAGAGCAUCAUGGCAGAAGGCAUGGCAGGGCGGAGCCAGGCUGCAGAUGAUGGGAGCGAGGUAUGCAUUACCAAGGCGUUUCCCUGGUGACCUACUUCCUUCAACAAGGAACUGUCUUAAUAGGGUCCAGACAGAUGGUUCAGUGAAGAAGAAAAAAUAUAUGACUUGAGUUCAGUUCCCAACACCCAGGACAGGUGACCCACAGCAACGUGAAACACCAGCUUCAAGCUCACUGUUGGCUGUGCUGUAGCUGAAACCAUAGAAAAUGGAAGCACAGAUGACAGUGGACUAUUUUAUUGCAUUCUCCAAAUACAAGGACAGUGAAAAAUACUUUGUAUUCAUCGUGUUUUAUAGAGUGGGAAUAUCCUGCCUAAGAAGAGAUGCUACUGUGGACCUUCUACAAAGU